GUGCUUGCUUUGGCAGCACAUAUACAAAAAUUGGAAUGAUACUGAGAUCAGCAUGGCUGGCCCCGUGCAAGGAUGACACGCAAAUAUUCUCAUCACAAGAAAAAUAA